GAUGAACGCUGGCGGCGUGCCUAAUACAUGCGAGUCGAGCGAACAGACGAGGAGCUUGCUCCUCUGACGUUAGCGGCGGACGGGUGAGUAACACGUGGAUAACCUACCUAUAAGACUGGGAUAACUUCGGGAAACCGGAGCUAAUACCGGAUAACAUGUUGAACCGCAUGGUUCAACAGUGAAAGACGGUUUUGCUGUCACUUAUAGAUGGAUCCGCGUCGCAUUAGCUAGUUGGUAAGGUAACGGCUUACCAAGGCAACGAUGCGUAGCCGACCUGAGAGGGUGAUCGGCCACACUGGAACUGAGACACGGACCAGACUCCUACGGGAGGCAGCAGUAGGGAAUCUUCCGCAAUGGGCGAAAGCCUGACGGAGCAACGCCGCGUGAGUGAAGAAGGUCUUCGGAUCGUAAAACUCUGUUAUUAGGGAAGAACAAAUGUGUAAGUAACUAUGCACGUCUUGACGGUACCUAAUCAGAAAGCCACGGCUAACUACGUG
rnacentral:rRNA from 1 species